rnacentral:ncRNA from 1 species
AGCGAUACUGACGUGCAAAUCGUUCGUCUGACUUGGGUAUAGGGGCGAAAGACUAAUCGAACCAUCUAGUAGCUGGUUCCCUCCGAAGUUUCCCUCAGGAUAGCUGGAGCCCUGUACGAGUUCUAUCAGGUAAAGCCAAUGAUUAGAGGCAUUGGGGACGCAACGUCCUCGACCUAUUCUCAAACUUUAAAUAGGUAGGAUGGCUCGGCUG